rnacentral:misc_RNA from 1 species
UGUGGGAGCGAGCCUGCUCGCGAUGGCGGCGGUUCAGCCAGCGUUGAUGUUGACUGACAUACCGCUAUCGCGAGCAGGCUCGCUCCCACA